rnacentral:rRNA from 1 species
AGUGAACGCUGGCGGUAGACCUAACACACGCAAGUCGAACGGCAGCACAGUAAGAGCUUGCUCUUACGGGUGGCGAGUGGCGGACGGGUGAGGAAUACAUCGGAAUCUACUUUUUCGUGGGGGAUAACGUAGGGAAACUUACGCUAAUACCGCAUACGACCUACGGGUGAAAGCAGGGGAUCUUCGGACCUUGCGCGAUUGAAUGAGCCGAUGUCGGAUUAGCUAGUUGGCGGGGUAAAGGCCCACCAAGGCGACGAUCCGUAGCUGGUCUGAGAGGAUGAUCAGCCACACUGGAACUGAGACACGGUCCAGACUCCUACGGGAGGCAGCAGUGGGGAAUAUUGGACAAUGGGCGCAAGCCUGAUCCAGCCAUACCGCGUGGGUGAAGAAGGCCUUCGGGUUGUAAAGCCCUUUUGUUGGGAAAGAAAAGCAGCAGGUUAAUACCCCGCUGUUCUGACGGUACCCAAAGAAUAAGCACCGGCUAACUUCGUG